rnacentral:rRNA from 1 species
GACGAACGCUGGCGGCGUGCCUAAUACAUGCAAGUAGAACGCUGAAGGAGGAGCUUGCUUCUCCGGAUGAGUUGCGAACGGGUGAGUAACGCGUAGGUAACCUGCCUGGUAGCGGGGGAUAACUCUUGGAAACGAUAGCUAAUACCGCAUAACAGUAGAUAUCGCAUGAUAUCUGCUUGAAAGGUGCAAUUGCAUCACUACCAGAUGGACCUGCGUUGUAUUAGCUAGUUGGUGAGGUAACGGCUCACCAAGGCGACGAUACAUAGCCGACCUGAGAGGGUGAUCGGCCACACUGGGACUGAGACACGGCCCAGACUCCUACGGGAGGCAGCAGUAGGGAAUCUUCGGCAAUGGACGGAAGUCUGACCGAGCAACGCCGCGUGAGUGAAGAAGGUUUUCGGAUCGUAAAGCUCUGUUGUAAGAGAAGAACGAGUGUGAGAGUGGAAAGUUCACACUGUGACGGUAUCUUACCAGAAAGGGACGGCUAACUACGUG